GCGUUUGGAGUCCAACGGUUAGGAUAAUUGCCUUCCAAGCAAUAGACCAGGGUUCGAUUCCCAGCAGACCCA
rnacentral:tRNA from 1 species